rnacentral:rRNA from 1 species
UGGGGAAUAUUGCACAAUGGGGGAAACCCUGAUGCAGCGACGCCGCGUGAACGAAGAAGGUAUUCGUAUCGUAAAGUUCUGUCCUAUGGGAAGAUAAUGACAGUACCAUAGAAGAAAGCUCCGGCUAAAUACGUGCCAGCAGCCGCGGUAAUACGUAUGGAGCGAGCGUUGUCCGGAAUUAUUGGGCGUAAAGGGUACGCAGGCGGUUUAAUAAGUCGAAUGUUAAAGAUCGGGGCUCAACCCCGCAAAGCAUUGGAAACUGAUAAACUUGAGUAGUGGAGAGGAAAGUGGAAUUCCUAGUGUAGUGGUGAAAUACGUAGAUAUUAGGAGGAAUACCAGUAGCGAAGGCGACUUUCUGGACCCAAACUGACGCUGAGGUACGAAAGCGUGGGGAGCAAACAGG